UUUUAUAGUUUCAGUCCUGCUCUUGAAAUACAUUUCCAGCUGGGUACCAGGAAACAAAAAUGUCUGUGAGGAAGGAUGUUUUUGCUGCUUUU